UUUUUUAUGUUAAGAUAAGUAACAAGAACCCCUUUCUCUUCCAAUGUAAGCAUAUAACCCAAAUAACACACGAACAAAAUGUAACAACCCCCGCCACCCGAAACCCCUACAAAACCCCCUGUUAACCUAACACAAGAACAUUUCAAGAAAGAUUAAAAGAAAAAGAAGGAACUCGGCAAACUAUGAUUCCGCCUGUUUACCAAAAACAUCGCCUCUUGCAAAAUAUAAGAGGUCCCGUCUGCCCAGUGACUUAGUUCAACGGCCACGGUAUCCUGACCGUGCGAAGGUAGCGUAAUCACCUGUUUUUUAAUUAAAGACCUGUAUGAAUGACUACACGAGAAUCACACUGUCUCCUCUCUCCAAUCAGUGAAACUAAUCUCCUCGUGCAAAAGCGAGCAUUAUCACAUAAGACGAAAAGACCCUGUGGAGCUUCAAACACCCAACAUCUAUUAUACCCAUUCCCCCAUCUACUCCUGUAUAAUAUUAUGAUUGUAAGUUUUAGGUUGGGGUGACCAUGGAGCAUAACCUAACCUCCAAAAUGAACUAAAGUUUUCUUUAAUUCAGAACCACAAUUCCGCACAUCAGAACACUGACAUAAAUUGACCCUUCUUGAUCAAUGAACCAAGUUACCCCAGGGAUAACAGCGCAAUCUACUUUAAGAGCACGUAUCGACAAGUA
rnacentral:rRNA from 1 species